UGGAGCUUGAACCAUACGCGGAGUUCAUAUCUGACAUGUUCUCUGUUUUGUUGAUAUGUGCGAUGCGGUCCUGUUGAAUUUGUGACGAUGGCUUAUACAGUUCACCCAGAUCAUUUUCACAUCACCCUGAACACCGACUGUCUCCAAGAUGUAUGGAAUACGAACCCAUUUCAAAGACCCCUCAUCGAUGUGGUCAAGCCCGGAGGUUCUGUGGAAGGGGUAGUGCGAGUAACGGUCUCUGAAACACUACGAUGCAAUGGGAUAUUUCUGUCUGCAAGAGGACUCAUGUGUGUUUGUGAAGGGCAUUUCGAUGCUGAAAAUCUGUUCCUGCUCGUAGAAGAUACUUUUCAAGGAGUCCAGGAAAAAAUGAAGACCUAUGACCACCAUGAGGAAAGGGACUUAAUGGUAUUGCCGAAACUUCAACUGUUAGAUUGUAGAGAACAAGGAAUUCUGCUUCCAGGAGAGCAUCAACUUCCUUUCAAAUUUGAAAUCUCCACUGCAAUGCCUUCCUCCUUCCGAGGUGAACAUGGCUUCAUCGCCUACUGGAUAGAGGCCUCUAUAGACCAGAGGCCAUAUGGAAAUGACAUCAAAUGUCGGAAAGAUUUCAACAUACACGGCUUCUUUGACUUGAAUCAUGAUGAGAUGGCCUUGGUUCCAUAUGAGGAAACAUGUGAAGACUCCAACUGCUGCUUGUGUUGCAAAGACGGAUUUUACAGUUUUAAGAUUUCUUUACCGAAGAAAGGGUAUGAAAGGAGAGAAACAAUCCAACCAGUGAUUGAGAUAACGAACAACACGCAAUCCAGUGUUCUUGCUCAGAUUAAGUUCAGUAAGAAAGUUGAAUAUGCUGUUGGGGGACAUACCUGGGAAGAGGAGUCUGUGAAACUGAACGAAUACCACCGCAAGGUGGAGGCGGGGAUGGAUGACGUCUGGAGACCAGACAUUACACUUGGAGACCAACUCCUGCCGUCAAGACUCCUACCAUCCCUUAAUACAUGUAUCAGGGUCAUUUAUAAACUGCAUAUGCAAGCUGAAGUCUCUGGCUGCAAUUGUGAUCAAGUCAGUACAUCAACAGAGAUUUUUAUUGGUGACACCGGCAUGCCAUUUGCCACUGGUCCUCUGCCAGUGAUGACACAACCACUGCCUCAAACCUUUGUCUACGAGCAAGUUGACUUAACAGCAUGUAGUGGUGGAGUACCAGAACGCCGGCCUUUACUCCCGGCUGGCUAUCCUGAGAAGGGAGGAAUCUCUGAGACGGGCUACCAUCAGGGCUACCCUGGCGUUCCAAGACCUCCCAUAAUGCACCAGCCAGUCCCUCCCACUGCGCCACCUGUUGAUGAUCAACCACCACCUCCGAGCUACUCUGAAUGUAUCCAAAUGUCUGUGCUGUCUGGACCUGGGGCCCCAUCGGCACCCCCCGCAGGUCGCCCUGCAGGAUUCCCGCAGGAUGCAGCUGCUCCCUACCCACCACCAGCACAGAGCUACCCCUACCACCAACCUGCAGAGGACCAAUGGAAAUACUCAUGAUGAAGUAGAACAUACAACAUGGACUUACACAGACCUGGGCAGUGGGCGGUGUUUAUCCCUAAGUCUUCUUGUAUUUACCUAGACCUGGGCAGAGGCCGGUAUUUAUUCCUAAGUCUUCAUGGAUUUAUGUAGACCUGGGCAGAGGCCGGUAUUUAUUCCUAAGUCUUCAUGGAUUUAUGUAGACAUGGGCAGAGGCCGGUAUUUAUUCCUAAGUCUUCAUGGAUUUAUGUAGACAUGGGCAGAGGCCGGUAUUUAUUCCUAAGUCUUCAUGGAUUUAUCUAGACCUGGGCAGUGGCAGGUAUUUAUUCCUAAGUCUUCAUGGAUUUAUCUAGACCUGGGCAGUGGGAGGUAUUUAUUCCUAAGUCUUCAUGGAUAUAUGUAGACCUGGGGAGUGGCAGGUAUUUAUUCCUAAGUCUUCAUGGAUUUAUCUAGACCUGGGCAGUGGCAGGUAUUUAUUCCUAAGUCUUCAUGGAUUUAUCUAGACCUGGGCAGUGGCAGGUAUUUAUUCCUAAGUCUUCAUGGAUUUAUCUAGACCUGGGCAGUGGCAGGUAUUUAUUCCUAAGUCUUCAUGGAUUUAUCUAGACCUGGGCAGUGGCAGGUAUUUAUUCCUAAGUCUGCAUGGAUUUAUCUAGACCUGGGCAGUGGCAGGUAUUUAUUCCUAAGUCUGCAUGGAUUUAUCUAGACCUGGGCAGUGGCAGGUAUUUAUUCCUAAGUCUUCAUGGAUUUAUCUAGACUGGGCAGUGGCAGGUAUUUAUUCCUAAGUCUUCAUGGAUUUAUCUAGACCUGGGCAGUGGCAGGUAUUUAUUCCUAAGGCCUUUGUUUAUCCCUAAGUCUUCAUGAAUUUAUUUAGACCUGCUCAGAAGCCGGUAUUUAUGUCUUCAGGGAUUUAUCUGGACCUGAUCAGAGGCCGCUAUUUGUCCCUGUCUUCAGGGAUUUAUUUAGACCUGUGCAAAGCAAAUGUCUUCACUCUUAAGCAAAUGUCAGUAAAAAUUCCGAAAAAUACUAUUGAAAGGUUCCCAAGUCAUGUUAAAAUAUACCACUGAAAAUGAAGUUUAAGAGCACCCAAGUUUUUAUUGUGACUAUAGUUAAUCCGUCAUGGCUAUUGCAUCAUGCAGCCUUCCAAUUAUGGGUGUUUUGAGUAGUAUAGUUAUAUAUAAUGUAAUAGUUUUGUCGGAUCAACUUGUAUAGCAGUAAUAUCAGGACCAAGAAAGACAAAGAGGCUUUAAUGCUGAGUUUUACAUUCUUGAUUGUAAAUGUUAAGAUGCAAUGUUAAGAUGCAAUGUUAAGAGACCCCUGAAUGUAAGAAAGUAUGAAUACAUCUGCUGGACUGAUGGGUCAGAAGAGUCUUGAGUUGGACUUCUGGUAUUAAGUCAAAAGAGUCUUCACGGCACUUGUUACAAGCUUCAGUGACAGGUCCCGGGGAUUUAGAAGGGGACUCUAGGGAGCUCAUAUUUUUAUAUGAAUACAGAAAUAAGAAAUACCUUUGUUUUUUGGAAAUCCUGAUUAGAUUGUCAUGUGAACUGAGGUAUACAUUCUUCAAAUAAUGGUGUUACGUCAAAUAUUCAAGUCUUUCAAUCAUUUUGAUAAAAUGCUAUUUUGAUAAAUUAUGUCUGUGCAAAAUCACCUGUUUUUCUUUAGUGCUUGUUAUGGAUGUAACCAUUGAUCAAACUUUCGCUUCAUUGCGUCAAUACAUCAAUGACACAUUCAAAACAUCAAUAGUUCAUAAUCAUCAAUGUCAUGCUACAAUACUGAUGUUGUUGAUGGAUGUGAAUUAAAUACUUUAAAAAUAUAGUCAUUAUAUAUUUCCAUUACUUUUAUUCUAACAUACAUGAAGAGUCUUCAUUGGAGGACACUCCCUAAGCUCCCUAACAUCUGAACCCAAGGCAUGGUGGGUAUUUUUAGCUUUGGGCUCAUGUCCAAUAAAGGAAAUUAAAGGAGGCGUUCUUACCCAAUCGUGGGCCGGUCGGGUAGCCAACAUGGGUACAAUGUGUGAAGCCCAUUUCAGGUGUCCCCCACUGUGAUAUUGCGGGAAUAUUGCUAAAAGCGGCGUAAAACCACACUCACUCACUCACUUACCCAUUCGUGACCAACUUGCGUUAUUCCAUCCAAGCGCAAAUUUAAAUUAACGGGCAUAGUUUUAAAAGAAUUGUCAACUCGUUGCGUAAUGAUUCACAUAUAUUUCCACCAUGUCAUUUGUAUAUCAGAUGCUAUUUAAAACACAUCGGGACUUACGGUAUUUAUACAGUAUGAUUAAACACAUUUAGCUGUAUGUUGGGGGCGAGUGGUGACGAAUGGUUCUUGCCAUGCUUUCACAAUACCCCUGCCAUCAGGCCACUAUUCCCCUAAUAUUGCAAUAGUGUUUUUUGUACAUUGCAGUAAUGUUGCAACAGAAAUAAUGCCCCCAAUAUUUACCCCUAUACAUGUAACAAUAGUUAUAUUUGGGAUAACACUCUCAGUAAAGUACAGAUUCUAGUACUUUUUGGGGUUGAGUUCCAUCCGGGACCUAAACCCUAACUGCCAGAGUGAGGCACCUGAUCACCAGCACACAAAGUCAGUGAUCUAACCCACUCAGCCACCAAGGCUUCCACAAAAAUGAAAGUCCGACAACUGGUAGUCUAGAUGACAUACUUUGUGUACCCCUCUGGCAUGGCACCGAAGACCGAAAGCUAUGAAGACACAAUGCUAUUUUAGGAAGUGGUCAAAUGUAACAAAUGUUAUAUUUGGGAUAACACUUUAUCAUUUGACAUUUGUUACACUGGACCACUGUCUGAAAUGGCAUUGUGUGUUCCUAUACAUGUAGUGUGAAGUGUUGUGUGGUAUGUCUGUCACACACUGGUAUGGAGGUCACACAUGGUGUUCUCAACCAGCACAAUGCUGCAGUAUUUUAUGAACUGCCAUUUUACCUCACUCACUUUGUUGUUUUGUGGGGAAGCUGUUGUUUUUUUAUUAGCCCCUUUGUUAUUUCAACAAUUGUUUCUGAAAUUUGAUACUUUUAUUAUCAGCAUAUGAUACUAUUUUUAGCUACAAUGUUUUUGCCUCGGAAAGUUACUUCAAAGAGGGCCUGUAAGACAUGUUUACAUCAUAUAGAGUCCUGUAAGACAUGUUUACAUCAUAUGGAGGAUGUGUAAGACAUGUUUACAUCAUAUGGAGUCCUGUAAGACAUGUUUACAUCAUAUGGAGGAUGUGUAAGACAUGUUUACAUCAUAUGGAGGAUGUGUAAGAC
rnacentral:misc_RNA from 1 species